rnacentral:rRNA from 1 species
UACGUAGGGUGCGAGCGUUAUCCGGAAUUAUUGGGCGUAAAGAGCUCGUAGGCGGUUUGUCGCGUCUGUCGUGAAAGUCCGGGGCUUAACCCCGGAUCUGCGGUGGGUACGGGCAGACUAGAGUGCAGUAGGGGAGACUGGAAUUCCUGGUGUAGCGGUGGAAUGCGCAGAUAUCAGGAGGAACACCGAUGGCGAAGGCAGGUCUCUGGGCUGUAACUGACGCUGAGGAGCGAAAGCAUGGGGAGCGAAUAGGAUUAGAUACCCCCGUAGUCC